rnacentral:rRNA from 1 species
GAUGAACGCUGGCGGCGUGCCUAAUACAUGCAAGUCGAGCGAACAGACGAGGAGCUUGCUCCUCUGACGUUAGCGGCGGACGGGUGAGUAACACGUGGAUAACCUACCUAUAAGACUGGGAUAACUUCGGGAAACCGGAGCUAAUACCGGAUAAUAUAUUGAACCGCAUGGUUCAAUAGUGAAAGACGGUUUUGCUGUCACUUAUAGAUGGAUCCGCGCCGCAUUAGCUAGUUGGUAAGGUAACGGCUUACCAAGGCAACGAUGCGUAGCCGACCUGAGAGGGUGAUCGGCCACACUGGAACUGGGACACGGUCCAGACUCCUACGGGAGGCAGCAGUAGGGAAUCUGCCGCAAUGGGCGAAAGCCUGACGGAGCAACGCCGCGUGAGUGAUGAAGGUCUUCGGAUCGUAAAACUCUGUUAUUAGGGAAGAACAAUUGUGUAAGUAACUAUGCACGUCUUGACGGUACCUAAUCAGAAAGCCACGGCUAACUACGUG